rnacentral:rRNA from 1 species
CCCUUAGAUGUCCUGGGCUGCACGCGCGCUACACUGACACGUUCAACGAGUUUUGCCUGCUCCGAUGGGACUGGGUAAUCUUAUGAAAGCGUGUCGCGAUGGGGAUAGAUUAUUGCAAUUAUUAAUCUUCAACGAGGAAUUCCUAGUAAGUACAAGUCAUCAGCUUGUGCUGAUUACGUCCCUGCCCUUUGUACACACCGCCCGUCGCUCCUACCGAUUGGGUGAUCCGGUGAAUAACUCGGACUGCAGCUAUUCGGGAGACCGUUAGCUUGUGGAAAGUUUAGUAAAUCUUAUCACUUAGAGGAAGGAGAAGUCGUAACA